CGGUGGCCCGCGGGGCGGAGAGGGUGUCCCUGCUACCCCGCUAAAGAUGCGCAGCGGGCGGCGGGCUGCGUCCCAAACGCGGUCGCGAGCGGCGGGGUCCGAGGGGCACCGGGAAGCAAGAGUAAUUUCAAGGCAGGCCCAGCAGUGACGACUUGGAAACCCAUCUUAAGAUGUCUCAGAAUAAAAGGUCAUUGCCUU